GGAGAGCAUGGUCCCGACUCUAAUAUUGGUUUUCUCUUAGAAAGAUACAUGGUAGUUUAUGCGAGGAGAGAGGUGUAUUAUAAACCGAAACGGGUCUCCGUUAAAAACGGAUCUCUAGCGGGGGGUGUUAUUAAUUGUAAGAAGAGGCCCCAUGGAAAAUCUCUAACACCAGUACAGAAACUUAUGGCAAUGGAGGACACUCCGACCUAGCUAAGGAGAAUAGGGGUGAGCAAGACAUGGUGCCAGAACUCUCGGUAAGGCCAGCUCCCCAAGCUAAUACACAACGGCUUAGGCGGUAAGGCAGAAAUGAAAGAGGUGCUGCGCGCUUUAAUUUAUAGGUCAAAUUUGAGAAUUAAAUAGCUUGCCCAUACAGUACUUGAUUGUUGAAUCCGCGAAACUCUGGGGUUAGACCCGGAUUAGAUACCCGGUUAUUCCAGAGCAAAAAUACGCCACACUGCCUGGGAACUACGAAGAAUCUUUAAAACCCGAGGGACUUGGCGGUGCACUAAUCCUCCCAGGGGAACCUGGCCCUUAAUUCGAUAAUCCACGAACUUCUUACCUUUCCUAGAUAAGUGCAACUUGUAAAGAAGUUCGCUUAAACAGUUUGCAUACCGCCGUUUUCAGCUUAUAUCGUGAGGGGAUAGUAAUAGGCUAGAAAGUAGCUUAUAUAAUGAUUAUAAGGUGCUGUAAAUUCAGGUAAACGUGUAGCUAAUGGAAAGGGGUGAGCUGGGUUACAGUUGGGGUUUGAAGUAGCAUGUAGCCUUAAAGGCUACAUAAAAGAGUACUUGGAAGUAAUGAUCUUGGGCAAAGAGGUCGUGAAUAGUGCUCUAGUGUGUGUACAAAUCGCCCGUCGCUCGCCUUGAAAAGGGUGAUAAGUCGUAACACGGUAGGGGUACCGGAAGGUGUCCCUAAAACAUA
rnacentral:rRNA from 1 species